UACGUAGGGGGCGAGCGUUGUCCGGAAUCAUUGGGCGUAAAGCGCGUGUAGGCGGCUCGAUAAGUCCGGUGUGAAACCUUGGGGCUCAACCCCAAGCCUGCACUGGAUACUGUCGAGCUCGAGUCGGGAGGGAGAGCGGAAGUCCUAGUGUAGCGGUGAAAUGCGCAGAUAUUAGGAAGAACACCGGUGGCGAAGGCGGCUCUCGUGGAACGGUACUGACGCUGAGACACGGAAAGCGUGGGUAGC
rnacentral:rRNA from 1 species